GAUUCUCGACAACGGAUAUCUCGGCUCAUGUAUCGAUGAAGAACGUAGCAAAAUGCGAUACUUGGUGUGAAUUGCAUAAUCCCGUGAACCAUCGAGUUUUUGAACGCAAAUUGCGCCCGAAGCCAUCCGGUUGAAGGCACGUCUGCCUGGGCGCCA
rnacentral:rRNA from 2 species